rnacentral:rRNA from 1 species
UACGUAGGGUCCAAGCGUUAAUCGGAAUUACUGGGCGUAAAGCGUGCGCAGGCGGUUUUGUAAGCCAGAUGUGAAAUCCCCGGGCUUAACCUGGGAAUGGCAUUUGGGACUGCAAGGCUAGAGUACGGCAGAGGAGACUAGAAUUCCUGGUGUAGCAGUGAAAUGCGUAGAUAUCAGGAGGAAUACCGAUGGCGAAGGCAGGUCUCUGGGUCGAUACUGACGCUCAUGCACGAAAGCGUGGGGAGCAAACAGG